AGAACGAACGCUGGCGGCAUGCCUAACACAUGCAAGCCGAACGAGACCUUCGGGUCUAGUGGCGCACGGGUGCGUAACGCGUGGGAAUCUGCCCUUGGGUUCGGAAUAACAGCGAGAAAUUACUGCUAAUACCGGAUGAUGACGUAAGUCCAAAGAUUUAUCGCCCAAGGAUGAGCCCGCGUAGGAUUAGCUUGUUGGUGAGGUAAGAGCUCACCAAGGCGACGAUCCUUAGCUGGUCUGAGAGGAUGAUCAGCCACACUGGGACUGAGACGACCGGCCAGACUCCGUACGGGGA
rnacentral:rRNA from 1 species